CGAGUAAGACGGGCAAUCGCCUCAUUUAUGGGGAGGAAAGUCCGGGCUCCACAGGGCACAGGGGAAUGUUGAAAAAUUCUCUGAAGCGCGGUUUUGAAUGUCAAUAUGCACCACAUUGCAUUCAAAACCGCGCUUAAGAGCAAAUUUUUCAGCAUUCCCCGACGGACGCCUGAUAACACCAGGCGGAGGCGACUCCAGGGAAAGUGCAACAGAAAUAAACCGCCGACUUUUUCCGGCCGCAGGUCGGAAGAAUGGGUCGGUAAGGGUGGAAAGGUGGGGUAAGAGCCCACCGCGCGGCAGGCGACUGCUGCGGCACAUGUAAACCCCGUCCGGAGCAAGGUGAAAACGCAAAGGUGGCCCGCUUGUUUUCAAGACCGCAAGAGCCAUGUCGGCGACGCAUGGCCAAGAUAGAUGAUUGUCCACGACAGAACCCGGCUUACAGUCUUGCUCGCUCC
rnacentral:RNase_P_RNA from 1 species